rnacentral:rRNA from 1 species
UACGUAGGGUGCAAGCGUUGUCCGGAAUUAUUGGGCGUAAAGAGCUCGUAGGCGGCUUGUCACGUCUGCUGUGAAAACUCGGGGCUCAACCCCGAGCCUGCAGUGGAUACGGGCUAGCUAGAGUGCGGUAGGGGAGUCUGGAAUUCCUGGUGUAGCGGUGAAAUGCGCAGAUAUCAGGAGGAACACCGGUGGCGAAGGCGGGACUCUGGACCGAUACUGACGCUGAGGAGCGAAAGCGUGGGGAGCGAACAGG